GACGAACGCUGGCGGCGUGCUUAACACAUGCAAGUCGAACGGAAAGGCCCUGCUUUUGUGGGGUGCUCGAGUGGCGAACGGGUGAGUAACACGUGAGUAACCUGCCCUUGACUUUGGGAUAACUUCAGGAAACUGGGGCUAAUACCGGAUAGGAGCUCCUGCUGCAUGGUGGGGGUUGGAAAGUUUCGGCGGUUGGGGAUGGACUCGCGGCUUAUCAGCUUGUUGGUGGGGUAGUGGCUUACCAAGGCUUCGACGGGUAGCCGGCCUGAGAGGGUGACCGGCCACAUUGGGACUGAGAUACGGCCCAGACUCCUACGGGAGGCAGCAGUGGGGAAUAUUGCACAAUGGGCGGAAGCCUGAUGCAGCAACGCCGCGUGCGGGAUGACGGCCUUCGGGUUGUAAACCGCUUUAGCCUGUGACGAAGCGUGAGUGACGGUAAUGGGUAAAGAAGCACCGGCUAACUACGUG
rnacentral:rRNA from 1 species